GAGGAAUAUUGGUCAAUGGGCGCAAGCCUGAACCAGCCAUCCCGCGUGCAGGAUGACGGCCCUAUGGGUUGUAAACUGCUUUUAUACACCAAGAAACUUUCGGACGUGUCCGGAACUGACGGUAGUGUAUGAAUAAGCAUCGGCUAACUCCGUGCCAGCAGCCGCGGUAAUACGGAGGAUGCGAGCGUUAUCCGGAUUCAUUGGGUUUAAAGGGUGCGUAGGCGGCUUUUUAAGUCAGUGGUGAAAUCCUGCCGCUUAACGGUAGAAUUGCCAUUGAUACUGAAGAGCUUGAGUACAAUUGAGGUAAGCGGAAUGUGUAGUGUAGCGGUGAAAUGCUUAGAUAUUACACAGAACACCGAUUGCGAAGGCAGCUUACUAAACUGUCACUGACGCUGAUGCACGAAAGCGUGGGGAGCGAAC
rnacentral:rRNA from 1 species